ACUCAAAGGAAUUGACGGGGGCCCGCACAAGCAGCGGAGCAUGUGGUUUAAUUCGAAGCAACGCGAAGAACCUUACCAAGGCUUGACAUCCCUUGACGUGCAUAGAAAUAUGUACUCCCUUCGGGGCAAGGAGACAGGUGGUGCAUGGUUGUCGUCAGCUCGUGUCGUGAGAUGUUGGGUUAAGUCCCGCAACGAGCGCAACCCUUAUUGCUAGUUGCCAGCGCGUAAAGGCGGGAACUCUAGUGAGACUGCCGGGGACAACUCGGAGGAAGGUGGGGACGACGUCAAAUCAUCAUGCCCCUUAUGUCUUGGGCUACACACGUGCUACAAUGGCCGGUACAAAGGGCAGCAAAGCCGCAAGGCGGAGCGAAUCUCAUAAAGCCGGUCUCAGUUCGGAUCGUGGGCUGCAACCCGCCCACGUGAAGUCGGAGUUGCUAGUAAUCGCGAAUCAGCAUGUCGCGGUGAAUGCGUUCCCGGGCCUUGUACACACCGCCCGU
rnacentral:rRNA from 1 species